rnacentral:rRNA from 1 species
GACGAACGCUGGCGGCGUGCCUAACACAUGCAAGUCGAGCGAACGGACGAGAAGUUUGCUUCUCUGAUGUUAGCGGCGGACGGGUGAGUAACACGUGGACAACCUACCUAUAAGACUGGGAUAACUUCGGGAAACCGGAGCUAAUACCGGAUAAUAUGUUGAACCGCAUGGUGCAAAAGAGAAAGACGGUCUUGCGGUCACGUAUAGAUGGAUCCGCGCUGCAUUAGCUAGUUGGUAAGGUAACGGCUUACCAAGGCAACGAUGCAUAGCCGCCCUCAGGGGGUGGUCGACCACACUGGAAGUGAGCCUGGGUCGCGACUCCUGCGGGAGGCCGCAGUAGGGACUCCUACGCGAUGGGCGAGAGCGUGACGGAGCACCGCCGCGUGAGUGCUGAUGGUGUUCCGCUCGGAAAGCUCUGUUAUUUGGGGGAAACUUAUGUGUAAGUAACUGUGCACAUAUUGACGGUACCUGAUCAGAAAGCCACGGCUAACUACGUG